ACGAAAGGUGCGAGCGUUAAUCGGAAUUACUGGGCGUAAAGCGCGCGCAGGCGGUUUCCUAAGUCAGAUGUGAAAGCCCCGGGCUUAACCUGGGAACUGCAUUUGAAACUGGGAGGCUUGAAUGCGGCAGAGGGGGGUGGAAUUUCACGUGUAGCGGUGAAAUGCGUAGAGAUCGGGAGGAACACCGAUGGCGAAGGCAGCCCCCUGGGUCGACACUGACGCUCAUGCACGAAAGCGUGGGGAGCAAACAG
rnacentral:rRNA from 1 species